rnacentral:rRNA from 1 species
GAUGAACGCUGGCGGCGUGCUUAACACAUGCAAGUCGAACGAAGCACUUUAUUUGAUUUCCUUCGGGACUGAUUAUUUUGUGACUGAGUGGCGGACGGGUGAGUAACGCGUGGGUAACCUGCCUUGUACAGGGGGAUAACAGUUGGAAACGGCUGCUAAUACCGCAUAAGCGCACAGCAUCGCAUGAUGCAGUGUGAAAAACUCCGGUGGUAUAAGAUGGACCCGCGUUGGAUUAGCUAGUUGGUGAGGUAACGGCCCACCAAGGCGACGAUCCAUAGCCGACCUGAGAGGGUGACCGGCCACAUUGGGACUGAGACACGGCCCAAACUCCUACGGGAGGCAGCAGUGGGGAAUAUUGCACAAUGGGCGAAAGCCUGAUGCAGCGACGCCGCGUGAGCGAAGAAGUAAUUCGGUAUGUAAAGCUCUAUCAGCAGGGAAGAUAAUGACGGUACCUGACUAAGAAGCACCGGCUAAAUACGUG